UGACCGCUGGCGGCGUGCCUACUACAUGCACGUCGAGCGAACAGAUACGGAGCUUGCUCCUUUGACGUUAGCGGCGGACGGGUGAGUAACACGUGGGUAACCUACCUAUAAGACUGGAAUAACUCCGGGAAACCGGGGCUAAUGCCGGAUAACAUUUAGAACCGCAUGGUUCUAAAGUGAAAGAUGGUUUUGCUAUCACUUAUAGAUGGACCCGCGCCGUAUUAGCUAGUUGGUAAGGUAACGGCUUACCAAGGCAACGAUACGUAGCCGACCUGAGAGGGUGAUCGGCCACACUGGAACUGAGACACGGUCCAGACUCCUACGGGAGGCAGCAGUAGGGAAUCUUCCGCAAUGGGCGAAAGCCUGACGGAGCAACGCCGCGUGAGUGAUGAAGGUCUUCGGAUCGUAAAACUCUGUUAUUAGGGAAGAACAAAUGUGUAAGUAACUGUGCACGUCUUGACGGUACCUAAUCAGAAAGCCACGGCUAACUACGUG
rnacentral:rRNA from 1 species